rnacentral:rRNA from 1 species
UACGUAGGGUGCGAGCGUUAAUCGGAUGUAAUGGGCGUAAAGCGUGCGCAGGAGGCCCGUUAAGACAGGUGUGAAAUCCCUGGGCUCAACCUAGGAAUUGCGCUUGUGACUGGCGGGCUCGAGUACGGUAGAGGGGGGUGGAAUUCCUGGUGUAGCAGUGAAAUGCGUAGAGAUCAGGAGGAACACCGAUGGCGAAGGCAGCCCCCUGGGCCUGUACUGACGCUCAUGCACGAAAGCGUGGGGAGCAAACAGG